GUCGAGGAUCAUUCGCAAUGCGCGAAAGCGUGACGGUGCGACGCCGCGUGCAGGAUGAAGGCCUUCGGGUCGUAAACUGCUGUCAUGAGGGAACAAUGUCCGGGAUGUGAAUAUCAUCUCGGGGUGAUAGUACCUCAAGAGGAAGCCACGGCUAACUCUGUGCCAGCAGCCGCGGUAAUACAGAGGCGGCAAGCGUUGUUCGGAUUUACUGGGCGUAAAGGGUGCGUAGGCGGUUCUGUGUGUCGGACGUGAAAUCUCACAGCUCAACUGUGGAAUUGCAUUUGAAACUACAGGGCUGGAGUACAGGAGAGGAGAGCGGAAUUCUCGGUGUAGCGGUGAAAUGCGUAGAUAUCGAGAGGAACACCGGUGGCGAAGGCGGCUCUCUGGACUGAUACUGACGCUGAGGCACGAAAGCUGGGGGAGCAAACAGGAUUAGAUACCCUGGUAGUCC
rnacentral:rRNA from 1 species